AUUGAACGCUGGCGGCAGGCCUAACACAUGCAAGUCGAACGGUAACAGGAAACAGCUUGCUGUUCCGCUGACGAGUGGCGGACGAGUGAGUAAUGUCUGGGAAACUGCCUGAUGGAGGGGGAUAACUACUGGAAACGGUAGCUAAUACCGCAUAACGUCGCAAGACCAAAGAGGGGGACCUUCGGGCCUCUUGCCAUCGGAUGUGCCCAGAUGGGAUUAGCUAGUAGGUGGGGUAACGGCUCACCUAGGCGGCGAUCCCUAGCUGGUCUGAGAGGAUGACCAGCCACACUGUAACUGAGACACGGUCCAGACUCCUACGGGAGGCAGCAGUGGGGAAUAUUGCACAAUGGGCGCAAGCCUGAUGCAGCCAUGCCGCGUGUAUGAAGAAGGCCUUCGGGUUGUAAAGUACUUUCAGCGGGGAGGAAGGGAGUAAAGUUAAUACCUUUGCUCAUUGACGUUACCCGCAGAAGAAGCACCGGCUAACUCCGUGCCAGCCGCCGCAGUAA
rnacentral:rRNA from 1 species